rnacentral:rRNA from 1 species
CCUACGGGGUGCAGCAGUGAGGAAUAUUGGUCAAUGGACGGAAGUCUGAACCAGCCAUGCCGCGUGCAGGAAGACGGCUCUAUGAGUUGUAAACUGCUUUUGUACAAGGGUAAACCUGAAUACGUGUAUUCAUCUGAAAGUACUGUACGAAUAAGGAUCGGCUAACUCCGUGCCAGCAGCCGCGGUAAUACGGAGGAUCCAAGCGUUAUCCGGAUUUAUUGGGUUUAAAGGGUGCGUAGGCGGAUGGAUAAGUUAGAGGUGAAAUGUCCGAGCUUAACUCGGGAACUGCCUCUAAUACUGUUGAUCUAGAGUGUAGUAGCGGUAGGCGGAAUGUAUGGUGUAGCGGUGAAAUGCUGAGAGAU